AUGCCUAAAACUUAUGAGUAAGGAAAAUAACAAUUCGGGUGAAACCUGAAUCCUCACUGCUGAGGGGAGACAAGUUUUUGAGUGGGUAAAGGUUGCCCAUAAGGUGACCCGUCUAAUUUGCAGGAUGCCUGGGAGCUGUGAUCUGCCUG